rnacentral:lncRNA from 1 species
CUUAGAUUUUCUUAAUUUAAUAGCAUAUUUUUAUUUAAAAUUUUAAAUAAAUAUAUUUAUUAAUUAUAUUAUAUAUUUUUAUAUUUUAGCGCCUCGCUUCGCUCGGGCGAGCGCCUAGCGCCUCGGGCGUUUUUGGACCUUGGCGCCUUUUGGCGCCUAGCGCUUUUUAAAUCACUGCUUAUAUCAUAUUCUUCUAGAUCUAUAGAAAUAGGCAGGGUAGUUGAGGGAAAAAGAAGUUGAGUGCUGCUUCCACAAUGUGGCCAACCCUACUAGAGCAAGAAUACUUCUACAAUUUAUUCCACCAUGCAUGAACGACAAUCCAUCUAAUCAAGCUAGCAUUGUUGUGGUCAAUGACUCAACAAUUUCCACGAACAAGAUUAGUAGCACAACCCAAUCUUAUCUUCCUCCAUGGUCAUUCAAUCCCAAGAAGGGUCCUGUCAGGUCAUGAGGUAGAAGACAACGAUAUUUAUCCUACUGAUAGACAAUGCUUAUUAUAAUUUUUAUAGGUGAAAUGAAGCCUCAUGGAUUGAAAUACCAAUCGAUGAUCUGCCAUUUCUCUUGAAAGCUUUAGGGAAACUUGAUUUCCAGAAGAAAGGGCUCAGCAUCAUAACUAUGUGGAAUUUGUUAAGAAGCCUAGACCAGUCAUUUAUUAAAAGUUAACCUUUUAGAAGAAUCGUUAUGUUUCUGUUUUUGAUGGAGGAUAUCACUACAUGUGGUGCUUUGGCCAAAUGUGGUUAUGGUAUUACAUUCAGGUGAAGCAAUUCUAGGAAGAGAACCUCCUAAGUCCCAGUAAUUAUUAACUAGAAAAAUCAAACUAGCUCACAGAUCUUAUUGCAUGAAAAAGAAAGAGAUAACAAAUUAAGAAUGAGCCGUAAUGGCUGUAAAGCUUGCCUAUCCAAAAGAGUACUGGUGCCUGCAUCCCCUCACUUAACUAAGAUUCUGAAUACUUUAGAACAAGGUUCGCCGUUUUUGGUACCCGACCUGUCUCGGUGAUCUGGUGGACUGGUACGUACCAGUCAGUACCGAUGUACUGACACAUGGUACGCUGGUGCGUAUGAGUGUUUUGAUGAGGAAGGAAAAGAGGGAGAAGAGGAAGGAGCAGUGGAGGAAUACAGGAAGGAGGAAGGAAGAAGAGAACGUGGUAGAGGAGGAAGAAAAAAAAGGAAGAAGAAGAAGAAAGAAGAGGAGGAGAAGAAGCAACAGUGUUGAAGCAGCAGUGGUGAGGCAGUUGCACACGAGCCCUAAGUUUUUUUUUUUCUUUUUUUUAAUGCCGAGUUACAUAGGGGCCCACCACUUUUCUGAUUUUUUUUAUUAUUUUAAUCGGACCACCUGAAAUGGGGUGGUCUGUGUAUCAGCUCAUGCCCGGAUGGAUACAUACUGGCUGUACCAUACUGUUUCGGUCAGUACAUCCGUCCUUGCUUUAGAAUAAUUGGUCUAAGAUUCCGAGUACUCUAGAAUAAUUGGUCAGAUACAUGACUUUUAUGCUGAACUAGUCAAGUAAACAUUUUAUCUUUUCAUAUUGUUUCUAGCUAAUAUCUGUGGCUUUGGCUUAAACCAAAACUUGCACGUCCACCAAGACCAUCUAUGCAGUCCUAGACAGAAAUGCAAGUUGUGGGGAAAACAAAGUUUGAUCAUAAUAAACUAGGCAGAUAAAAAAAUUGGCCAUAAUGGGCCAAGAUAUGUCAAAACUGCAUUUCUUAGCUUGGUAUUAGCCACCCCAAGUUGGGGUAUACGUGCACCAUGAUUGGGAUUACCUAGCACAGAUUAUAGGCAUGAUUGAAACCUGUUAACUGCCAAAGCUCCAUACUGAUUAUUUUCACAAUGGGGAGUCCUCUUUCUACAGGUUCUAAAUAGUUUUUCUUCAGGUGAUGCCUGGAAUCCCCUUUUCAGUAUCCUGCUUGUGUUAAGGUUUGGAAAUCCAGAUAUUUAGCCCACUUCCAAAACAAAUUCUUGGAAUUUGAUAUUUCAGAACAUGCUUAUCACUUGAUUCCACUAAAGUGCUAAUCCAGACUUGAUGUGGUUCUCGAAGUUUGUAUAUCACAUCGUUGUAUAUUUACAAACUAAUUUGGGAUAUUACUUGUAACUUCUUAUAUGCUGGAUGUAGUUGCAGUCUUUAUUAUUCUGUCACUAGGAAAUACAUUCUAUGAUGUAAAUACUACAUGGCGUUUGUCAUGCGUAAGUUUUUUUGUUUUUGAUUAUUGCCCAAAUUUGUAUGGGUAAUUUGUUUUAAUACGUGUCAUAGUAUUUGCUAUAUGAGGUUCAUUCUAUUACUAAUCUUUAGGUUCUUGUGGCAGUGGGCUGCUUUUUUGGAUUCUGAAGGACGGAUUCUUGAUUCAAAAGCAUUAAGAGAGAGAAUAUUUUAUGGUGGAGUUGAUCAGAAUAUACGAAAAGAGGUUUGUAAAUGAGCUUCAACUUGAAUACUGUAGCUGCUUAUGAAUUUCUGGGCAUUGCAUUUAGAAUUGAAGUGCAGGUAUGGAAAUUCUUGCUGGGAUACCAUGAGUAUGAUUCAACAUAUGCUGAGAGAGAAUAUCUUACUUCAGUUAAGAAAUCCGAGUAUGAAGUUAUAAAAUCCCAGUGGCAGGUGCGCCAUGCUGUUACCUACCUUAUUGAUGUUUAGUUUCUGAGGAAAAUCUUUUCCCAUAAUUUGUUUUCCUUCAUAUCUAUCCGGCAGAUGUUUGUAUGCUUCUUUGUUAUCGAAAUUUGUGCACAUUAUCCAAUUCAAUGAUUCCUUUUCCUGGUCUUGCUGAUUGCGGAAUCAGACAGAGCAUCCUUGGAAACUGAGGAGAUACUACUGUUCCACUUAGAACUGCAUCUGUUUCUUUAUGGAAAACUUUAUAUUUAGAAAUAAUUUAAUCCAAACUUUUGUAGUACUCUUUGUUUGUUGUUUAUUUUGUUAACAUUGAAAUCCUUUAUCCGACAGAUAACAAGUAGCAACACUAUUAUCACUGGUCAUUUAUAUAGAUACAAGAUAGCACUCUAGAAGAGAAACUGAUCUGUAAUUUCCAUUGUCAUUUCUGUCAUUAUAUUGAAUAUGAAAGCUACGUUUUUACAUUAGAUACUUAUAACAUUUGGACUUAUGUUAUUGAUUGAUUAUGAUAUUAAGAGAUUUUUGCCUACAUGGAAAAUUAUGCUCAGAUAAAUUAUUCACUCUUGGGACCUAGGAUUUUCUUCAUUCAGGAAUGGCUUGUGAUACUAACAAAUUACAAUGAAUUGCUGUCUGCAUGGCAUAGUUAAAGCUGUGUCUUCACUAACUUGCCAGCAGAAAAGGAUAAAAAGAAAAAUUGGAAGAAAGAGAAUGAAAAAAAAAACUGAAAAUCAGAUUCCUUUUAGCUGUUGGUAACCCUCUAAAGAGGAAAAGUUCUCUGGUAGUAACUCAAACUUAAAAAAUUGUCAAUGCCCUUCAAAUACAUUCCAUUCCAUUCCCCUCCUUGGUUGUGUCAUUAAAUGGCCUAAGUUAAUGGAUUAAAUCCUUAGCUCCAACAGGUUCUUUUAGUUACUUCAGUUGAUUGGUUAAAUAAAGGAACUAGUCUGAUGGACUUUAAAAAGAAAAAAGAUUUUAAUGGGGGAUCCUUGCAACCCUUUGUCCACAAACCUGUUUGUUACUAGCUGUUGAGAUUUGAAACACCAGUCAGAGCAUAUGUAUUGGGCAGUAUUUCCGGUCUGACCACUUACUCGUAUCGGAAGAUAAUCAUGUAUAGCUCAACACCAGUAUAUAUCAGUUCAUUUAUAUCUUUUAAUUAUUUAAUUCAGUGAUACCUGGCAGUAUGCGUUUGGCUGCCCCCUAUGCUGGUACCAUAGUGGUCUGAUAGGUUAGUAAAAAUGUUAUCGGAGCAAUAUUCAGAUCCUUGCUAGGCAUACUCAUGUAAUUUCCUUGGUGCCAUGAUUUAUUCUUGUGAAGUUGACUAGCUGAUAGUGUUUAUUCGAACUGCAUGAACAGCUUUAUGGUUCUUUGUUUGACAUUUUGUAGCUAUUUCAGCUAUAUCUUAUGUGCCCAAAUCCAAAUGCUAGGCAUAUUAUAUUUUCCAAAGAUAAUCUGAAUGCCCAGGUAGGAUAAUAGGAUAUAGCUGGAAAAUGCUAAUACAUUUUCUAAAUCCGAAUUUAUUAAAUUUACCAAAUCUAGGAUCCGAACUGUAUCAUUGAUAAUAAUAGGAACUGAACAUUAUAUUAUGGCAAGAAAAAGUUUGAUUCAGAGGGAGAAGUAGCUGCAGAAAUUCAAACAACAAUAUCAUUUGAUUUGUCGAUCCUCAAAAGAAAAAAAAAUAAGCAAAGUUCCAUCAUUGAGUGAAAAAUGGGAAAUUCAUGGAAAAUUGCAAUCCCCACCACGUAAUAGUGCACCUAUAUGUCUAUGUCGAUGUUGUUUUUUUUGACUAGAAGACCGAGAGCUAACUAUCGAGGCUUUGGGCUAUCCGGACACACUUUGAGAAAUUUACUAUGGCAAGGGGGGAUCUACCUUGGAGAGGGACGAUCCAAAAUGUCUAACAAAGAACCAUAAAAUGUCAUUGCUAAUAGGAUAUAGCUGCCCAAAUUUAAUAUAGGAUAUAGCUGGAAAAUGUAUUAACGUUAAAAAAAAAUUAUUAGCAUUUUCCAACUAUUUCAGCUAUAUCCUACCUGCCCAAAUUUAAUAUAUCUGAAUUUAACAAAUUCGGAUUUGGUAAAUUUAAUAAAAUUUAAUAUAAGAAGGC